AAAUAGUUGCUCAGAAACCAGGAGGAAACUCUGACUAGGAGCAAAUCUGAUGGUGAUUGGUGGGGAAACUAAAGUUCUACCGCUGCUACGUGAACCGCUGAGGAAAACCAGUUUUCAGCUAGGGAAUAAACACAAAUUCUAUUGAGGAAUAAACAUUCCGCAGGGGACUGAAUCAACCCACUCUGUUGGCUACCCUACCGGGGAAUAGCGGAAAAUAAUGGAUGAAUGCUAAAAAUGUUGUUGAGGAUGAAAGAGGAAUUGCGCCUACUGCUCGGGGAGG
rnacentral:lncRNA from 1 species